rnacentral:rRNA from 1 species
AACGUAGGUGGCAAGCGUUAUCCGGAAUUACUGGGCGUAAAGGGUGUGCAGGCGGGGAUACCAGGGGGGGCUUAAAUCUCCCAGCUUAACUGGGAGCGGUUAUGCCAGACCGUAUUUCUAGAGGACGAGAGAGGGGGGUGGAAUUCCGGGUGUAGUGGUGAAAUGCGUAGAGAUCCGGAGGAACCCCAGAGGCGAAGGCGGCCCCCUGGCUCGUACCUGACGCUCAGCCACGAAAGCAUGGGGAGCGAACGGG